AACAACAGCACGCUAUUGCAAACACUGAAGCAAACGCUGGAAGAAACGCUGAAACGAAUGCUGGAUAACAACCUGCAUACAAGAAGUUCUGUGCAAUUGAGGAUAUCUAAGCUUUGGAGAGACGGCCGGUUUUUUACCUGAUGAAAUGACUAAAACAAUUGAAUGGCUGCUAAAGUGACUACUACAUAUGUCUGCCUCUGAAUUGAAAGGAAAUAAAGAGAAAAAUAAUAAGGAGGAAACCAAA